rnacentral:lncRNA from 1 species
UUUAGUGUAAAAUAACUUAGAUUAUGUUUCUUUCCUUUCUCAUGUCAUAGAUCUCAAGUUAACACCCCUUUUGGUUACAUAUUUAUCACAAAAACACAUAAAAUCACACACAUACAUGCAUAAAAUCACACAUAGCAUACACAUACACAUAGAUCUACACAUUUUCUUGUAUUACCCCCAAUAAAAAAAUAUGAAAACUAAAAAGAGAGGGGUAUGAAGCUCACCUUGAGUUGUGUUUUCGGUUUUGAAGAGUGAAAAGAAGAAAAUUUCGAUCCUAGCAAGUCUUCUUGGUAGAUCUCGAGUUUAGUGACUUCUAAGGUGCAAGAUUACAAGUUGGAAUAGAUUUAGAAGAGAUUUUUGAUGAAAUGAAGUAGCUAGAUCAUGGAUUUAACAUAAAGUUACCUUAGAUGAUGUUUUUUUGGGGAAAAAUCUCCUUGAAAGCUCCCUUAAUCUCGAAAAUUUGAUGAGUGAGUGUAAGAAUGUUCUAGUGAGAGUUUGAGAGAAUGGAAUGAAUUUUUGUGAGUGUGUGUGUUGUGUUCGGCCGAGAGAAGAAGAGAGGAGAGAAGAGAGAAGGUUGAUGAGAUGGUUGCAUGGAAAUAUGGGAGAAUGCAUUGAAGACCAUUAAGUAAAAAUGAGUUGGUACACACAAAGUCAACUCCUCCUUCUUUGUGGGCUUGGGCCGAGAAUGGAGAGGGAAAAGAGAAAGAAUUGGGUCUUGAGUGCUUAGCCCAUAUUAUGACUCACUUUAGAUGAUGUUUGGGCCCAAAUAAAUCAAAGUGUAAUUUUUAUGACCUAAUAGGGCUAAAUUAAUUUGGUUGUGACCCAGUAAGGUCCAUUAAAGCUAACCUAGUAUAUAUUGGGCUCAUAAGGCCCAAAAAUAUUAAGUUUCAUGUAUAUGGGUCCAACUAGGGCCCAUUUGAGAGUCCUAGGUUCAAGAUGGAUGAUUUGGAAGUUUAUUAUUCCAUUAGGCCCAAUAAGGAAAUCCUAGUCCAAAAUGGACUUAAAUUGGGAUUUCAAAGGUUUCCAAUUCUUUGUUGACCAUUUGUAGUGCUAGAAUGAAGUAUUUGAUGAAAUUUUGUUGUUAUAGAAUAAGCAUCAUGCAUGCUUUCAUAUUAUUGAUUCAUAGUUAUUAUAAGUGUUGUAGUUACAAGGCCUCAAAAUUCCUAGUUUUGACAUCAUCCCCCUGUUAGAGGGAAUUUUGGAUCGAAAUUCUUUUAAAACCUAGAUUUGAGAAUUCGAGAAUAAAUGAGGGUACUUCUGCUUCAUUUGAUCUUCGCGUUCCCAUGUGAAUUCUGGUCUGCGUCUCGCGUUCCAUCGAACUUUCACAAUUGGAAUGCGGCUCUGCUUGGUACGCUUUACCUCUCGGUCCAUGAUUUCAACCGACUCCUCGAUGAACAGAAGGUUCUCAUUGAUUUCGAUUUCCUCUAAUGGAAUGACGAGAGUCUCGUCGGAUAAGCACUUCUUCAAGUUGGAGACGUGGAACACAGGGUGUACACUACUGAGCUCGGCCGGUAGUUGUAGUCUAUAAGCCACUGGACCGAUUUGCGCAAGAAUCUCGAAAGGUCCAAUGUAUCGAGGGUUCAGUUUGACUCGCUUCCCAAAACGAAUCACUCCUUUCUAAGGAGAGAUUUUUAGUAAUACCCUAUCUGCGACUUCGAAUUCCAAGGGCUUUCGUCGUUUAUCGGCGUAGCUCUUUUGUCUGUCUCGUGACGAUUGCAGUCAUGCUCUGAUCUGAAUUAUCUUCUCAGUCGUCUCGUGUAUGAUAUCCGGUCCUGUUAAGGCGUUGUUUGGAGUCUGCCCUCCCGCUAGUUGGGUGUCUCCUACCUCAGCCUAGCACAAUGGUGAUCUACAUUUAGGCCGUAUAAUGCUUCGAAAGGAGCAACUUUGAUACUCGAGUGAUAACUGUUAUUAUACGAGAAGUCGAUCAAAGGCAAGUGGGUAUCCCAUGAUCUUCCAAAGUCUAUUACACAAGCUCGGAGCAUAUCUUCAAGUGUAUGAAUGGUUCGCUCGCUUUGACCAUCCGUUUGUGGGUGGUAGGCAGUGCUCAUAUCGAGUUGUGUUCCCAUAGCUUUCUAAAGCGAUUUCCAAAAGCGUGAAGUAAAUCUACUAUCUCUAUCUGAGAUGAUAGAUACCGGUACUCUGUGGAGUCUCACGAUUUCUUUGAUGUAGAUUUUUGUCAGGCGGUCCAUCUUGUAUAAUUCUUUUAUUGGUAGGAAAUGGGCGGAUUUCGUUAGUCUAUCGACUAUUACCCAGAUCGUGUCCAAACCGUCCGUCGAAUUGGGUACUUUGGUCACAAAAUCCAUGGUAAUCCUUUCCCAUUUCCACUCGGGAAUUACUGGCUGCUAUAGCAAUCCAUAGGGCUUCUGAUAUUCCACCUUUACUUUAGCACAAGUGAGGCACUUGCUCACGUAAGUGGCAAUCUCUUCCUUCAUAUUUGACCACCAAUAAUGUUGUUUAACAUCCAAGUACAUUUUGUCUGAACCCGGAUGGAUGGAGUAUCGCGUCUUGUGAGCUUCGUUCAUGACUACCUCUCUGAAUCCCCCAAGUUUAGGGACCCAUAUGCGGUUCAUGAAGUAAUAUGCUCCAUCUUCCUUCACCUCCAAGUUCUUCUCCAUUCCACGCAGCGCUUCACUUGUUUUGUUUUCCACCUUCAAGGCAUCUGAAUGAGCUGUUCUGAUUUGCGAGGUUAGGUGGGAUUGGAUGGUUAUCGAGAGAGUUUUCAUACGACGAUUUGAGUAUUCUUUUCGACUCAAUGCAUUGGCUACCACGUUAGCCUUGCAUGGGUGGUACUUGAUUUCGCACUCGUAGUUGUUUAGCAGUUCGACCCAUCUUCGUUGCCUCAUCGAACUCGUAUUCAGUAUCUGUAUACCCGUCGGGUCCCACGACGUGUGCUCCCCCUGAUCUCCUUCUGGCUCAUCUUCGAGCAUCUUGUGGGCUACUAAGACCUGGUGAAACUGAAGGCCCUGGUGCUCUCCUUCCAUGUCGACUGAGAAGAGGUAUGCGAAUAACUAUCAUUACUCCUAUGACGCUUCUAUUAUUGUAUAGAUUAAGUUGUUGUGCUCUUUUUGGUGAUAAAGGGGUAUGCCUUUAGGUUUUCCUACCAUCGCGGUUUCCUUGGGACACGUGAUAGUUGUACCUUGGAGGAAAUGUAGUUGAUCAGGCUACAUCCUCUCGUUGAUACAACCAUGUAUAGUCCCAGCUUACCCGAGAUGAUAGCAUUAUCUUGUUUGGUUUGAUAUUAUAUUCUGUUUCCUAAUUCACACAUGCAAAGAUGUUUUAUAGUUGUGUUUUUAUUUGUUUUGUUUUGUUCAGAGUUUGGCUAGUCCCUUUUUGGUUUAUACUUGCAUAUCAAUGUGUGGUUAGAUAUGCUAGUUCACUAUAAACAUUGCUCUGAUACCAACCUGUCACACCCUCGAACCAGACGACGGAAACGUCUGAGGGCUCGCGUGACUUUAAUUGAAUAUCAUCACAAUGAUUAUACAUGAAUCAUGACAUAAACGUCACCAUGCACCAAUAUAUUACAACUGGAAUUGUUCACAUCAAGUACAUUGUUUUAUAAUUACACAUUCAUAGCAUAAAUAGUUUGAGUGCUUUUAUCAAUAUAACAUCUAACAUUACUUCAUAUUACUCUUCCGCUUACCUGUUACCUGAGAAUACAAGUUAUUUUGGAAAAAUGUCAACAUAUGAAAUGUUGGUGAGUUCAUAAGCAAUGUUGUGAUAAAAUGAUUUGUGUAGUUUCUAAAACCCAGAAAAUCCGAUAUUUUCUUAAAAGACUUUUGUUUAUCAAAGUGUGAAGAUCCAUAAGUUGAUGCAUGAAUGAUUUCAAAAACAUAUAUAUGAAGGGUAUUUUGUAUUAUAGUUAUAAUAUUUCGAGCGAGUAGUAUUAAAUUCCCCAAAAACCCGAUGUUUUCCGAUGUUGAAAUGUAUUCGUGAUUACUGAUUUUUGUAUUGUCUUAACGAAUGAAUAUUGAUUAAUCCACAUUGUAUAUUGUCCUAAUUUUGUCUACUUUGAUUUCUCGUAAGCCUUAGCGAAUGAAGAGAAGGGGAGCAUUAUGUCCCACUACUAUCGUAAAUACCUUAGGCUGUCGCGGGUGCGAAAGACACGAUGGUCAAACUCGCAUUUGAUUACUGUGACCUUACUAGCUUUUCUAACGGGACACUUUGGCCUACUAGCACAUAAAUGCUAUUGAAAGUCCUUUUAUAAAAUAUUGGGUCAUUGAAGGCCUAAUAACAUAUAAGCAUUACCCUUUGGGCCCAAAGAUCAUGUUGGCGGGCUUACAAGGCCCAACAAGCAUGAUUUGAAACUCAUAAGCCCAAAGUUCGUAGGUUUAUUCAUUUUAGUCAUCACAUAUCUAAUGGAGAGUUUUGAUUUAGCGAUUGUUGUUUUGUAUUGAUUCGAGACCGAAUCAAUUUGUUUUUAACGAUAUUUGGUAUUGAAGGUGUAUUCGUUUUCCGUUUUGUCGCUAGUCAGGUAUCUUGUAUUUUUUCUUAAUAAAUUAAUUGUUUUAAAAGUAUGAUUUUGACCUUUUCAGUACCUUUCUUUUAUAAAAAUAACACUUUUAGUCCUUUAUAUAAAAGAAUUUCAUUUUUAGUCCUUAAAACAUUUUCUUGACACUUUUGUAUCAUAAACUUGUUGAAAAGACAGUAUUAACCCAAAAUUUAUUUUGUAAACAGCUUUAGCUCUUCCAGAAUGGAGUUUCUCAGUUAGAACCACAUAUUUCACAACUUUUACAGUUUUGGCCCAAAAUAUAAAAAGUUUACAUUUUUGAUCCUUUUUGGAAUUGAAAAGCAUUUUUGACCUUCGAAAUAGUUUUAUUUCACUUCUUAUCCCCUGGUUUGCUGAAUGUUACAUUUCAGCCCCUUUAAACUUCAAUUUUCGCAAUUAUGGGCUUAUUGGGCCGAAAAGCCCAAAUUUAGCCCAUUAAGCUAAAUUUUUGCAUUUCAAGUCCUUUGAAAAUUCUAAUAUUCAGAAAAAUGGUUAUAGAAACUGUUUUGACUCUUUUGACCCUCAAGAAACCAUGAAUUGAUAGUUUUUAACCCACGUUUUGUAUUUUUGACAAUUUAAGCCCUAAAUGGGUUUUAUGUUAGAAUAUGUUCCUCAUAACCUUAUAAGUUAUUUUUCCUAACUUGUUUAGUGUAAAAUAACUUAGAUUAUGUUUCUUUCCUUUCUCAUGUCAUAGAUCUCAAGUUAACACCCCUUUUGGUUACAUAUUUAUCACAAAAACACAUAAAAUCACACACAUACAUGCAUAAAAUCACACAUAGCAUACACAUACACAUAGAUCUACACAUUUUCUUGUAUUACCCCCAAUAAAAAAAUAUGAAAACUAAAAAGAGAGGGGUAUGAAGCUCACCUUGAGUUGUGUUUUCGGUUUUGAAGAGUGAAAAGAAGAAAAUUUCGAUCCUAGCAAGUCUUCUUGGUAGAUCUCGAGUUUAGUGACUUCUAAGGUGCAAGAUUAC